CGCCCCUGCACCCCGAGAGCGCGGUCACGGCCGCCCGGGCCCCGGAAACUGCGCACGACGCCCCCGGGCGCUUACGGUCGUCUGCUCCUGGCUCCCGGGCUCGGCGGCAGCAGAGUCUGAGAAGCAUUAGUCUGGGUGAAAGUACGACCCAUUCAAAGUGGUCUUCAUCGCACUCGUAGAGAACGGACAUGAGGGCACGGAUGGGGCGAAGGAUGCAGUUUCAACACCCGGCGUCCUCAAGAUCACAGCCAGCAGACCAGAACCAGGGCCUGUUACAGGGAUAUUAAACUUCUCACUGUCACCCUGUAUACAACUUCAGGAUAAAGUUCACCCCCUUGGCCUCCAACCUUACUGCUCACCCUGGCCCAAGAACUCUCCAUUUCAGUGAAGAGAGGCUGUUCCUGGCUAACAAACACACUCAAUUCAGUCACAUCUCCAACCUUUGCUCGUGCAGCAUGCCUGGAAAGGAUGCUCUCCUGCAUCCAAACAUGAAAUCCUACUGUUCUUUAAUUCCACACCCUCCUACAAAAGCCUUCUCUCAUCCCUGCAGUGUCUGGCAUCUCUGUGCUUCUUGAAAACGUGCAGCCUGUGAGAUCCCUCCAUCCCUCCCCCACAUCUUUCAGACAGAAGCUGCUCUGCCUCUGGCCAUUUUACCAAGGGACUCAAAUUUGUUACUCUUCAAACUGCAGUGAUGAUGAAAACAUUCUAAAAUUAGAUAUUGGUGAUGGUGUAUCACCAUAACUCUGUUAAUAUACUAAAAACUACUGAAUUGUACACUUUAGUUUUUUAUAUAAA